rnacentral:lncRNA from 1 species
CCCACUGUCAGGAUGACAAGAGGGAUUAACGGCCCUGGAUGGGUGGUUGGCGGUCGAUCUCAGGCAGAGCCCACCCUGGUCGCUGAGGCAGGCUGUAGUAUCAGAAGACAGGAGGCCAAGUAAGACAGAUGCAGGAGCUACGCGAGAAAGCCCAGUGUGACGCCUCAGUUUCCCCUUCUCAGUCAGUCUGCACAUCAUCCGGUACAUUUUUUCCCAGCCAAAACCCCAGAUGCUCCUCGGUUCUCUGCAGCCUCUCCCCAGGCUCUUCCCUGGUUCUGCCUCCAGGAUGGCAGCGCUGGCUGCACUCUCCGCCUCUGCCUCCCUCAGCAGCCUCCCGACAGACAGCAGAGACCCCGUUAGCAGGCAGAUCAGGCUGCCUGCUCAGCACUUCAGUGGGGCUCAUUUCAUCCGCAGAAUCCCAACUCCCCACCCUGAGCUGUGAUCCAAAGCUGUGGCAUCCCUGCCGUGUGGUGGACACUGCUCCUAAACACUUGGAGGACAAGAGCCAACCGAAGCAGAAGCCAGCCCUGCCUCCUCGAGGGACUCACAUUCUCCCACAGAGGGAAUCUGCAGCCAGCUGACCUUCACUGUGAGCGAACGCAGGACGUAAGGCAACUUGGGGGAGGAAGCGCUCCCUCGCUUGGGCUCAGUUUUGGGGUCUCACUCCAUGGCUGCUUGGCCCCGCUGCUCUGGGUCGGGUGGCCCAGCACCUCAUGGGGGAGUGGGGAAGAGGUCAAGCUGGCAAAGUCCCCCCGAGGCCGAGCCCCAGUGACCCAGCUGCCUCCCCAGGCCCCACCUUCUGAGACCCCCAACAGGCUCGCUGGAGACUGCGCUUCUCACACACGGACUUUAGGGAAGGCCCAGGUGCGCACUGCGGCAGGAGUUGACAUGCAGCACACUUAAGGACAGGCAGAGAGAUGAAGGCAGGAUGCCGACCCUGGGCGCCGCAUGGAGCUGAGAGGAGCUGCAGUGCGGAGAAACGGGGACAGCCCAACGCCUGCAGGCCGGAGGGCAUCCGGGUUCCAGGGACCAGCAAGAGGAAGCAUUCGGUGACCCCUGCCACAACACUGUGCCGGGCACUGGGGACAUGGAAAGAGAAACCACUCGACAUCUAGGCUUGCGAAUCUACGUCCCUGAGCACUGUGGCCCAAGGCGCAUCCGUUUUCCUGCAGAUAACUCCAGUGCAGUUCUUCAGCUUCCUCUGCUCUGUCCCCCAACGUGGGCCUCCCCACUGGGUCCCCUGGCCACGCAAGGCCCUUGGAUGCAGCCGCAGCGGCCCGCCUGUGUCCUGCCUCCGUGACCCCCAGGCCCCCUCCCCCAGUGGGCAGGGGUUUCCUGCUCUCAGUGUCCAGAGCACUUGCUGGAUGCAAUCACUGUUCUUGGAAUGCGUCCUGUAAUUGGUCUUCCUGGGCACUUAAGUCUAAUGUCACCCACAUGAUCGCUUGAAUUGUAGAAAGCGCAGGCAUUUUAUUCACGCCCACGGAAGGAAGCAGAGGGACGAGACCUCGAGCCCAGCAAGCCUCGCCUGAGAUUCUGGACGUCGGUACCAGCAUGAGAAAUUCCCGGG